CGAUUACGCCAUUCUGACGCUUCUACUGCCUCUGGAGCACCGCCGGUGGUCCGCCGACUCAUUGCUAUCUGGGAAUGGCACAGCUGAAGUCAGUGAUGACUAUCACCUACACACAACGGUGAAGAAUAUUUUCAGAGAGUGCAUCCUGGUGAAGUAGGUUACAACAGAGAGAAAAGUGUGAUCCACGCCCAUGUGUGUUCUCCCUGCUUAUGGCACCCUUCAGAGAAAAACAUGAGGGACUCAUUUUGAUAUGCCCUGACUCAACGA